rfam:Drosophila ficusphila unplaced genomic scaffold scf7180000454072, whole genome shotgun sequence
AAUUCAAUGAUUUCACUUUCACCGCUGACCAGCCACGCCACACACAGCAUUGGAGUAAUGUUCCUCAGUCUUCGUCAGUUGAAGUAACCUCUAAUAAAGCA